GCCCGAUUCCGCGAUCGCUGGCCGCAGCUUGCGGGGAAGAACCGCCGCGCGGAGCCUUCCGGACUUCGGUUCCACCUCCCCGCUGCAAAUCUGUGCUCUGCGCGCGCGGCCGCCAGCCGGGCAAAGAUCUGGCUGCGUGUGGGAAAAGAUAGUAACCUGGAAACAGGCCAUCCUCAACAAGUAUAAUGCUAGGUAUAGACAGUGUCUCUUGACUCCCAGCUUUAAAAGAUGAAGAUGCCAGCAUCUCUAACCUUCCAGGCCCAGCUCCUCCCCGCCUCCUCUUCUACCACCUGCCUUGGCCAGGCAAGCUCCUCUCAUCUGGAUGACUGCGGAGGCUUCUGAGUUAAAUGAACAAAUGAAUAAAUGCUAUGAGUGUUGAAAUUAGCGAUAUGAAAUAUAUAUGUGUAUGCCCGAGGACGCCAUCUGAAAUGUAAUUGAACGUUUUUCUCUGCAGGCUGCAGUAUGUCCUUACAGAUGAAGCUUUAAUCUCCCUCAUACAUCUCCGUUGCUGUAAAUUCCUGCUCUAUUAUGGUACCAUAUGCCGUGAUUCCCUGGGAGAAAGCCACAGUAAGCUUGGCGGCGAGCUUGGGCUUCUGAGCUGUUUGUGCCGCGUGUUGAAUCACAUAUUAUCUCACACUUAAAAGUAUGUCUUAAUAAGCUCUUUUGUAUCAGUUUAUUAGCCAUGAUCCUGCAGUUGAUCAGUUAUGUCAUGGAAGGGUACCACGGAGCUCACUGACAAUUACGGGAUGUAAGAGGCAGAAGGAAAGUUAGGCUUGAAACACAACAGAGCGCAGUUCAUCUGAUGGUCUAGCAGCUGCCGAUUCGCCUUCUCAUCUGUUUCUAAGUAAUAGAUAUUGAUGCUUCUCUGCUCAGAGCAGACCUACUGUACAUGCAGUUGCCCACAGUGCACAGAAUGGCAUUUUUUCAAAAUCCUUUCCAGCUCACUGUUAAAGGCACAAUGUCAGAUGUCAGGACCCACAAGGGUUACUCUUGGAGCUAAGCCACACCAUCAUUGUUCCUCACACUGUGCUCUUUCUGGGAGAAAGAAACAUGUUCGCCUUUUGCCUCAUUUCCCUCCCAAAGCAACUGACCAAGUUCUGAAACCACUCUUAGGAGGAAAAAAACCCCUCAGGUCCUGUAUCCUUUAUGAUGACAGCUGUCAUCUAUGCCUGGUGGGAAAGGGGGACCAACAGGAAACAUUUAGAAAACAGUUUUUCGCCUAAAACCCGUCAUGGAGUCUGACUUCAGAAGCAGUUCCACUCAAGCUUCUGUGGCCAGCUUCUUUCUGAGGAUGAUCUCCAUGCCACAGGGUGAGGGUACCACCAUGUUACCCUAACUAGGACCUCCUUCUCCUAGCUGGAAAGCUAACAGGCACAGGGCCAGUCUAAGAGCUUCCCAGGCCCCAGAGGCUUCUUCUUCUGGAUCCCCUACUACAAAACAUGUCAAAAAAAUGGAAAUGCACCCCUAUCCCACAUCAUGAUA